CAGAUGGCAAUAGUAUCAGUGUGGAUGGAAGUGGAGGCUCAACAAUUUGAACCAGCAGCUUCAAAACUUAACUGGGAAAUAUUUUUUAAGCCAUUAUUUGGGCUGACCACGGAUGCAGCAGCAGUGGAGGAAAACGAAGCUAAGUUGGCUAAGGUUCUUGAUGUCUAUGAGUCACGGCUGGCUCAAUCAAAGUACUUGGCAGGCGACUCCUUCACCUUGGCAGAUAUGCACCACCUACCUAACUUACACUUGCUGUUCGUCACACAAAGCAAAAA
rnacentral:misc_RNA from 1 species